GAUGAACGCUGGCGGCGUGCCUAAUACAUGCAAGUCGAGCGAACAGACGAGGAGCUUGCUCCUCUGACGUUAGCGGCGGACGGGUGAGUAACACGUGGAUAACCUACCUAUAAGACUGGGAUAACUUCGGGAAACCGGAGCUAAUACCGGAUAAUAUAUUGAACCGCAUGGUUCAAUAGUGAAAGACGGUUUUGCUGUCACUUAUAGAUGGAUCCGCGCCGCAUUAGCUAGUUGGUAAGGUAACGGCUUACCAAGGCGACGAUGCGUAGCCGACCUGAGAGGGUGAUCGGCCACACUGGAACUGAGACACGGGCCAGACUCCUACGGGAGGCAGCAGUAGGGAAUCUUCCGCAAUGGGCGAAAGCCUGACGGAGCAACGCCGCGUGAGUGAUGAAGGUCUUCGGAUCGUAAAACUCUGUUAUUAGGGAAGAACAAAUGUGUAGUAACUAUGCACGUCUUGACGGUACCUAAUCAGAAAGCCACGGCUAACUACGUG
rnacentral:rRNA from 1 species